GAUCAUGGCUCAGGAUGAACGCUGGCGACAGGCUUAACACAUGCAAGUCGAGGGGCAUCAUGAGGUAGCAAUACCUUGAUGGCGACCGGCGCACGGGUGAGUAACGCGUAUGCAACCUGCCCGAUACCGGGGUAUAGCCCAUGGAAACGUGGAUUAACACCCCAUAGUACUUUUAUCCUGCCUGGGAUGGGAGUUAAAUGUUCAAGGUAUCGGAUGGGCAUGCGUCCUAUUAGUUAGUUGGG
rnacentral:rRNA from 1 species